AGGCUGUAAGAAGGAAAGAAUAACAGAAAUAGAAUAUUGAAGACUUAAUCAAGCGAGUUCUUAGUUACGUUCGUUGAUAUGAUUGGUGGUAGAAAAAUGGAUUUGGAACUCAGAUUGUCAAGCUAGAUUAUAAAUCAGUCUUAGCGCUUCUGCUAAAAAUAUGUUACUUUCGAGGAAUUUCCAUUUCUUAAUUUUAUCUUAUUUACCCAACAGCUGUAGAAGGGAGGGUCAUGAUUUUCGAGCACGUCUGUACUUUGGCCCACCCUACACCUCAAAUGGCUGGACGGAUUAUGACAGUUGAGGGACAAAAUUCUGAAGAAUAGGAGAUGUGGAAUGUUAGGACUUAGCAAAAUAUGAACAUAAAAGUGACAUCAUGCAUGAGUUCCAUUUACUAUACCGAUUUACGAAGAGAAAUUACGUAUUUUAUUCGUUAACCUACCUGACGAUCAUUGAAGUGCAUUACCGACAUCCCUAUUGCAUAAAUGGAGUUAAAAUAAAGAACUAUACGGAAAAAGAGGCUUAUUUAGUCCCUCACUUGUCUGGUUUAUUCCAUGAGGUUGGUGAUGAAGUUACGCUGACCGCACGAAGACUGCCGACACAGACAGCCAAAAGAUUUUCCAGACAGUGUAUGACGGAUAGGAUAUUUGGAAGAACCAUGUGUGAGGUCUCUAUAAUGGCGGAUAUAGUAAACUGAUAAACUCCGCAAGACAUUGAAAAGACCCAGAUACCUAUCAGUAGACAUUGUUUUAUUGAUGUCUGUGUGUUUUUGAUAUAAUUAACGAAAUUCAAUAGAUACACACGUCAAAAACCGUCUAGCGUACCGUCUUAUUCAAUGAUAGCUUUAGUCUUAUAGAUCUAUAUCUUUCAUAUUCCAUAUGCAGAUUUUUUUGCAAAUUUUUCAUUUUGUGGGUUUUUUUAUCCUGAAUACUUUUGGCCCAUGUAAUGUUGCAAAUUUAAGAAAACAUGAUUUCAUUUUUUGAAAGGCAAUGAGUU